rnacentral:rRNA from 1 species
GACGAACGCUGGCGGCGUGCUUAACACAUGCAAGUCGAACGAUGAAGAAAAGAAUUGAAGCUUCGGCAGAAAUUCAUUUCGGAUUAGUGGCAGACGGGUGAGUAACGCGUGAGCAACCUACCUCUUACAAAGGGAUAGCCUCGGGAAACCGGGAUUAAUACCAUAUAACAUUGCGACGAAGCAUUUCGAUGCAAUCAAAGCUACGGCGGUAAGAGAUGGGCUCGCGUCCCAUUAACCAGGUGGUGAGGUAACGGCUCACCAUAGUAACGAUGGGUAACCGGCCUGAGAGGGUGAACGGUCACACUGGAACUGAGACACGGUCCAGACUCCUACGGGAGGCAGCAGUGGGGAAUAUUGCACAAUGGAGGGAACUCUGAUGCAGCGACGCCGCGUGAGUGAUGAAGGAAUUCGUUUCGCAAAACUCUGUUCUAUGGGAAGAAAAGGACUGUACCAUAGGAGAAAGCUCCGGCUAAAUACGUG